AAGCAUGUAAGAUCCUUUUCCAGUAGGCGUUAUUUUGGCAUUUUUUUAAAUAACAUCCACAAUUUUUAUCUGAUCGAAACCAAAUUAACGUGGAACCAUAACCAAAAAUAACAACUCUAGCUCAAAAAUUAUGCUUGGCGGGAGUAGGCUUGUCAAAAAUAUAUAACAAAAUUGAUUUCUGUGCAAACAUGAGUGUUGUCAAAAAUCAAGCUGAUUCGAAAAUUUCAAAUCAUCAACAGUUGACGUUUUUUUUUUUUGCUUUCUGCGUUGCUAUUACUUUUGAUCGAAGAAUUUCGGAAGUCGUCGGCAGUCUCAGUCGCGAUAUUCAAACGCGUUCGGCUUGUUGCCACUUUUGAUUUUUGUCUCAGCUGCUUACGAGCAGCACCGCAAGUUGAAAAAGCAAAAGCGACAGAUGCGUGAAAUUCACUGUCACGUUCGUUUGCUUCAUUUAAUAUUACUUGUAAUAUUACAGUAGUUUGCUGCUAUACUCACACGUAGUCGGCUACAGCACCAGGUGCAGUGUGUGAUAUUCAAGAUUGUCGUUGUGGCUGGUUCUUGACGUGAUGCAAUCAUUGGACAUACUAAUGUACAUACUCAAUUGUAGAAAUAUGACAAAAUACAUUAGAACAACAUCUAAUGGUUAACGUGAAUUGUUUAAUUUAAAAAAAUUUUAAAUGGUACAACUAGAUUGUCUAACCAGAUGGGGAUCUACUUACACGAUGCUAAAAAACUUUUUGGAUGCUAAAAAAUAUUUAAACUAAAAUAA